CUCUGUUCCCCCUCACUCGGGCUAGGUUCUCUGUCUGCGUCCUCAGAGGCCGCCCAGACCUGGUAGCGCAAAAGGUCUCCAGCUACUUCCAAGGCACCAGCAAAUGUUUCGAAGCCCUUGGCUCGCUGGGGAAGCGGAGCGGCUUCUCUGAAUUAGGCACUUGUGUGGUUCCUACAGUUGCAAAGUUCCAUAGGAUCUAAUCCAGACAUGAACACCCGUGAUCUCAGAAACAUCCGAAACCUACAGUCCAGAGUGACCAUGGUGCAUGAUACUCGGGACUAUGUGACUGUCCCUUAGACUGGGGUUUAUCCCAUGCUGACACAGAAGCAGAUGCUGAACGCAACAAGGAGGAUGCUGAGGCAUCUCGGCGACUGCGACGGUGGUGGGAGCGUCCUGCAGU
rnacentral:lncRNA from 1 species